AAUGAAAGAGUAUGUGUUGUUUUGCGUCCAAUUCAUGUAGAGUUUGUUUAAUUACUGUAGCUCAGAUAUGUUUUAUGUACUAAGACUUAAUCAAAAAAAGAUUUCUCCCCAAGUUCUCUAAACAAUAUUUGUUUAAUGUAAUCAUUUUAUCUUUACCUAGUGUAUUUAGCAAAUCUGCUUUUUAUGCCUUGCAUACUGGUUUAUGUGUAAGAAAAAAAUCUUUUUAAAGUCCAUGACGAUAUUUUCCUUUGUGAACACAGCCAUCAAUGUUGACUUUUGUUUCACACUGUAUCUGUUAUGGAUCUCAUGACAAACACCCUGUAGUUAACUGCCUUUCUAUUGCCUGUGUGCGUUUUUGUUCUGCUUUAUGUCAUGAAUGUGAUAGAUGUCUGUGAUUUUAUAAAAGUUAUUGGUGUCUUCAAGAAAGCCAAGUGCGUAUAUUAAGUUCAAAAUGUCAUGUUGGAUAUAUUUUGGUCAUUUUUUAUUCAAUAUUUUACAGUCAAUUUUUUCUUUCUUACAAGAUCAUUUUUUAAAACAGGGUUUUGAUGGGACAAAUCACACAGCGGAGACAUUAUCUUUUGAUUUAUUGAAGGCCAGCAUUCAGUAUUUAAUUUUCCUGAAAGCCUUUUAUGUAUGUUUGUACUUAAUAUCAUGACAUUGAUUCCUUCCAUAUUGUAGCCAUACUGAAUACGCCCCCUAUGUAUUUGUACAUAAGGGAUGGGUUUAAUCAUCAACAGUGUCAAAAACUAGAUUCUUUCUUCAUUAAAAGAGCUAUAUUUACGAGAUCAGGUGACUCAGAUCUUAAUGUACUUGUUUGUUGCAUUGCGUCAAGCGAUUCAAUACCCCGGUUAUUCAGCAUGCUUGCUUUGUUUGUAUGUACAGAUGAUAUGCAAUGGUAUUCCCCAUAGAUUAUGACCACUUGUAGUGUAUUGUAACUGAGACUCUAGAUCAACAUAUCUCUAUGAAACCACAUAAAUAUGAAACAUUGAACUGUGUAGAUGGAAGCAGAUUGUCCAUUACUUGUUACAAAAGUAUUAGUAGAGAAUCAAAUUGUAUGUGUGCAUGUGUGAUGGCCAGUCUGUGGUUUCUCUGAGUGCUUUUAAUGUUGUUUACUAGUUUUUAUCUGGAUUAUUUGUAUGAAAUGUUGAUUUGUUUAGAGUUUAUAUUUGCUGUUGAUGUAGGCAAUUCAAUCUUUUUAUUAAAAGUCACUCCAAUUGGUGCAGUUAUGUUAGUUUAUGCAUGAAGAUUAGUUUACUUGUGUUUCUGUGUGUAGUAAUGUAUGUGUGGGUGACCCUCUCUGGACAAGGGGAACAACUUGACUCUAUUGCUAUUUCAUAAAGGUCUUAGAAAUGUGCAUCAUGAUACUUCCCAUUUAAAAACAAUAUUUUAGAUGUUCUGUAAUUUGCUCUUUAAAAAGCUGUAAUUUCUAUAUUCAUUAGGUUUCGAUACACUGGGAUAAAUAUUUGAUGACAGAAUUUUAUAUAUGAGACAGAUAACAUAUUUGACUGAUAACUGUGCUAAAAGGUGUUUUCAUUGCCUAGAGAGGGUCACUUGUUAAUUAGAAACAUCUUCCUAUUUUUGUUGUAAAUGGAUUUUGAAAAGAGGAACCUGGAAUAAAUGCAGCCUGAUUUUUAUCUGAUGAACUAUAUACCCUCUUUCUGUUGCAUGUAUUUGUUUAUUGUGGAGAUAUUUAUAUGAACAAUUAAACUUUUUUAUAUGAUACUUUUUUUGGUAAGAGAAAAAGGGAGAGAGAAAUGUAAAGAAUAAAUAUAAAUAUAUAUAUUUGCAUCUAUAUACUUGUAUAAAGUUUUAAAAAAGAAAUGUCUUUUUUCAUAAAUUGUAUCAUUUUAUUGAUAUUGCUCAUUGAUGACAUGUGAUGGCUGUGUUCUAUAUAUAAGCAUAUAUAUAAAGUAUGUAAACAAGGCGAUUUUUAGCAAUGUCACCUGACACAUAGUCAUCAUCUUCAUCUUCUUUUGUUACGUGAGACUUGUUGUCCAGUAAUACCAGAUCUACUGGAAUAAAUAUAUGUAUACC
rnacentral:sRNA from 1 species